rnacentral:rRNA from 1 species
GACGAACGCUGGCGGCGUGCUUAAUACAUGCAAGUCGAACGGAAAGGCCCUGCUUUUGUGGGGUGCUCGAGUGGCGAACGGGUGAGUAACACGUGAGUAACCUGCCCUUGACUUUGGGAUAACUUCAGGAAACUGGGGCUAAUACCGGAUAGGAGCUCCUGCUGCAUGGUGGGGGUUGGAAAGUUUCGGCGGUUGGGGAUGGACUCGCGGCUUAUCAGCUUGUUGGUGGGGUAGUGGCUUACCAAGGCUUUGACGGGUAGCCGGCCUGAGAGGGUGACCGGCCACAUUGGGACGGAGAUACGGCCCAGACUCCUACGGGAGGAAGCAGUGGGGAAUAUUGCACAAUGGGCGGAAGCCUGAUGCAGCAACGCCGCGUGCGGGAUGACGGCCUUCGGGUUGUAAACCGCUUUCGCCUGUGACGACGCGUGAGUGACGGUAAUGGGUAAAGAAGCACCGGCUAACUACGU